UACGAAGGGGGGCGAGCGUUGUUCGGAUUUACUGGGCGUAAAGGGCGCGUAGGCGGCCCGAUAAGUCCGCUGUAAAAGUCCAAGGGCUCAACCCUGGAAAGCCGGUGGAUACUGUCGGGCUAGAGUCCGGAAGAGGCGAGUGGAAUUCCUGGUGUAGCGGUGGAAUGCGCAGAUAUCAGGAGGAACACCGAUAGCGAAGGCAGCUCGCUGGGGACGGUACUGACGCUGAGACGCGAAAAAGCGUGGGGGAGCAAACAGG
rnacentral:rRNA from 1 species